rnacentral:misc_RNA from 1 species
UGCUUGUCUAGGAAUCUUAAUUCAACAUUAAUGAGAAAACAUGUAUGUUAGAAUUGGUGUGCCUAAAAGAAUUUACUGAUUAUAGUAUGCCCUGUUGAGUAAGUUAGUCCAACCAUGAAAAGAAAAUAGAAGCAUGGAGUUUCUUAUAAUUUAGUUUUGGUUUGUCUAGCAUCUACUUACCUUCCACCAGCCAAAUGAAAUAUUAGGAAAAGUCAUCUUUGCUUUGCUUCUGGUAAAGUAUUCCUUAGACGCCAUCUCUUAUAGUAAGCUUAUAGCAUAUAAAAUGCAAUACAGGUUAGCCAAUCAAAAAGCUUAAUCUCAAUUACCAAGUGUUAGAUUUGUGACACUUUCCGAUAUAGGAUGGGGGAAUAUUUCCGAUAUAGAGUGUUAUUAUUAAAUUGAAUAGGGUUCGUAAUUAGAUUAGGAUUGAGGUGACUUAUUUGACUUUAUCCAUAGAGAGUAGUUUUGCCCAGAGAGAGGCUCUCAUCCUGGAGUGAAUAACUUUACAAAUUGCUAAGCAUUUGGCUUUGUCCAUCGAUGAGCGGCUCUUGUCCAUUGCAGUCCCAUGAAAGGAAAGAAGAGAAAGAAAUUCUUAUCAAUUGGUGAUAUGGCUCUUGCCUAGACUGUUGAAGACAGUUUAGUAGUUGUAUUGGGUUAUGUUUAGAAAGACUGAGAGAAUUAUUAAUGUAUUUACCAAGGGUUCUAUGACUGUAAUUGGUGAAUGUGAUUCCUAAUUAGAUUUGGAUUGAAUAAAUAAGAGUAUUGAGGAACUGUUAUUUAGCUUUGUCUAUGGAGAAGACUGAGAGGACUAACUAAUGUAUUUA